UACGGGGGGGGCAAGCGUUGUUCGGAAUUACUGGGCGUAAAGGGCGCGUAGGCGGCCAGCACAAGUCAGUUGUGAAAUCUCCGAGCUUAACUCGGAAAGGUCAACUGAUACUGUGCGGCUAGAGUGCAGAAGGGGCAACUGGAAUUCUUGGUGUAGCGGUGAAAUGCGUAGAUAUCAAGAGGAACACCGGUGGCGAAGGCGGGUCUCUGGGCCGAAAUUGACGCUGAGGAGCGAAAGCGUGGGGAGCAAACAGG
rnacentral:rRNA from 1 species